UACCAGCACCCCGAGUGGGCGGGACGUUUAUUGGGCCUAAAGCAUCCGUAGCCGGUUCUACAAGUCUUCCGUUAAAUCCACCUGCUUAACAGAUGGGCUGCGGAAGAUACUAUAGAGCUAGGAGGCGGGAGAGGCAAGCGGUACUCGAUGGGUAGGGGUAAAAUCCGUUGAUCCAUUGAAGACCACCAGUGGCGAAGGCGGCUUGCCAGAACGCGCUCGACGGUGAGGGAUGAAAGCUGGGGGAGCAAACCGG
rnacentral:rRNA from 1 species